rfam:Papio anubis isolate 1X1155 chromosome 8, whole genome shotgun sequence.
UUUUGAGUAUAAGUAUAUCCCAUGCCAUAUUUGGGACAUAAUUGUAUUAAAA